rnacentral:rRNA from 1 species
CAGUCGCCGCGGUAACACCGAGGGUGCGAGCGUUAAUCGGAUUUACUGGGCGUAAAGCGUGCGUAGGCGGCUUUUUAAGUCGGAUGUGAAAUCCCUGAGCUUAACUUAGGAAUUGCAUUCGAUACUGGGAAGCUAGAGUAUGGGAGAGGAUGGUAGAAUUCCAGGUGUAGCGGUGAAAUGCGUAGAGAUCUGGAGGAAUACCGAUGGCGAAGGCAGCCAUCUGGCCUAAUACUGACGCUGAGGUACGAAAGCAUGGGGAGCAAACAGGAUUAGAUACCCCCGUAGUCCCUGUCUCUUAUAC